rnacentral:tRNA from 1 species
CAAAAAAUAGUUUAAGUUAAAAUAUUAAUUUUGGAGAUUAAAGAUGUUUUUAAAAAACUUUUUUGA